GAGUUUGAUCAUGGCUCAGAACGUACGCUGGCGGCACGCCUAACACAUGCAAGUCGAACGAAGUAGCAAUACUUAGUGGCAGACGGGUGAGUAACAUGUAGGUAUCUGCCCUUUGGCCUGGAAUAACACGAGGAAACUUGUGCUAAUACCGGAUAAGUCUUUACGGAGAAAGCUUUAUGCACCAUUGGAUGAGCCUGCACUUGAUUAGUUUGUUGGUGGGGUAAUGGCCUACCAAGACUGUGAUCAAUAGCUGAUUUGAGAGGAUGAUCAGCCACAUUGGGACUGAGACACGGCCCAAACUCCUACGGGAGGCAGCAGUGGGGAAUCUUGCACAAUGGAGGAAACUCUGAUGCAGCGAUGCCGCGUGAGUGAAGAAGGCCCUUGGGUUGUAAAGCUCUUUCGUCGGGGAAGGAAAUGACUGUACCCGAAUAAGAAGGUCCGGCUAACUUCGUGCCAGCAGCCGCGGUAAUACGAAGGGACCUAGCGUAGUUCGGAAUUACUGGGCUUAAAGAGUUCGUAGGUGGUUGAAAAAGUUAGUGGUGAAAUCCCAGAGCUUAACUCUGGAACUGCCAUUAAAACUUUUCAGCUAGAGUAUGAUAGAGGAAAGCAGAAUUUCUAGUGUAGAGGUGAAAUUCGUAGAUAUUAGAAAGAAUACCAAUUGCGAAGGCAGCUUUCUGGAUCAUUACUGACACUGAGGAACGAAAGCAUGGGUAGCGAAGAGGAUUAGAUACCCUCGUAGUCCAUGCCGUAAACGAUGUGUGUUAGACGUUGGAAAUUUAUUUUCAGUGUCGCAGCGAAAGCGAUAAACACACCGCCUGGGGAGUACGACCGCAAGGUUAAAACUCAAAUGAAUUGACGGGGACCCGCACAAGUAGUGGAGCAUGUGGUUUAAUUCGAAGAUACGCGCAGAACCUUACCAACACUUGACAUGUUCGUCGCGACUCUAAGAGAUUAGAGUUUUCGGUUCGGCCGGACGAAACACAGGUGCUGCAUGGCUGUCGUCAGCUCGUGUCGUGAGAUGUUGGGUUAAGUCCCGCAACGAGCGCAACCCUCACUUUUAGUUGCCAUCAUUAAGUUGGGCGCUCUGAAAGAACUGCCAGUGAUAAGCUGGAGGAAGGUGGGGAUGACGUCAAGUCCUCAUGGCCCUUACGUGUUGGGCUACACACGUGCUACAAUGGUAUCUACAACAGGAAGCAAGACUGCGAAGUUAAGCAAAUCCCUAAAAGAUACCUCAGUUCGGAUUGCACUCUGCAACUCGAGUGCAUGAAGCUGGAAUUACUAGUAAUCGUGGAUCAGCGUGCCACGGUGAAUGCGUUCCCGGGUCUUGUACACACCGCCCGUCACACCAUGGGAGUUGGUUCUACCUUAAGGCAAGGUUUCAAACCCUUGACCACGGUAUAGUCAGCGACUGGGGUGAAGUCGUAACAAGGUAACC
rnacentral:rRNA from 1 species